rfam:Felis catus isolate Cinnamon breed Abyssinian chromosome D1, whole genome shotgun sequence.
ACCUGGGUGGCUCAGUCGGUUGAGCGUCUGACUCCAGGUCAGGUCAUGAUGUCAUGGUUUGUGGGUUCAAGCCUCACAUCAGGCU